rnacentral:misc_RNA from 1 species
GAAAUGCGAUAAGUAAUGUGAAUUGCAGAAUUCAGUGAAUCAUCGAAUCUUUGAACGCACAUUGCGCCCCCUGGUAUUCCGGGGGGCAUGCCUGUUCGAGCGUCAUUUGUACCCUCAAGCUCUGCUUGGUGUUGGGUGUUUGUCCCGUCUCCGCGCGUGGACUCGCCCCAAAGUGAUUGGCAGCCGGCGUACUGGUCCCGGAGCGCAGCACAUGUCGCGCAAACGAGUGCCUUGGUACGGCGGCGUCCAUAAGCCCCUCUCUCACGCUCUUGACCUCGGAUCAGGUAGGGAUACCCGCUGAACUUAAGC